rfam:Halobiforma lacisalsi AJ5 contig_29, whole genome shotgun sequence.
GGGCCCUUAGCUCAGUCUGGUUAGAGCGCUCGGCUCAUAACGAGGUCGGACACCGGUGCGAUCGCGUGAGACACCGAGUGGUCGAUGGUUCGAAUCCGUCAGGGCCCA